rnacentral:rRNA from 1 species
UUCGGGGUGGAUUAGUGGCGAACGGGUGAGUAACACGUGGGCAAUCUGCCCUUCACUCUGGGACAAGCCCUGGAAACGGGGUCUAAUACCGGAUAACACUCUGUCCCGCAUGGGACGGGGUUGAAAGCUCCGGCGGUGAAGGAUGAGCCCGCGGCCUAUCAGCUUGUUGGUGGGGUGAUGGCCUACCAAGGCGACGACGGGUAGCCGGCCUGAGAGGGCGACCGGCCACACUGGGACUGAGACACGGCCCAGACUCCUACGGGAGGCAGCAGUGGGGAAUAUUGCACAAUGGGCGAAAGCCUGAUGCAGCGACGCCGCGUGAGGGAUGACGGCCUUCGGGUUGUAAACCUCUUUCAGCAGGGAAGAAGCGAGAGUGACGGUACCUGCAGAAGAAGCGCCGGCUAACUACGUGCCAGCAGCCGCGGUAAUACGUAGGGCGCAAGCGUUGUCCGGAAUUAUUGGGCGUAAAGAGCUCGUA